GGUUUUUGUUGGAGAGUUUGAUCCUGGCUCAGGACGAACGCUGGCGGCGUGCUUAACACAUGCAAGUCGAGCGGAAAGGCCCUUCGGGGUACUCGAGCG
rnacentral:rRNA from 1 species